rnacentral:tRNA from 1 species
GUCAGUGUAGCUUAGUGGUUUGAGUGUUGGACUAUACCUCUGGAGACCAGGGUUCGAUUCCCAGCUUGUCC